rnacentral:rRNA from 1 species
UAGAUACCCUGGUAGUCCACGCAGUAAACGAUGAAUACUAGCUGUCCGUUGCGAAUGAGCCCUGGGUGGCACAGCGAAAGCGUUAAGCAUUCCACCUGGGGAGUACGCCGGCAACGGUGAAACUCAAAGGAAUUGACGGGGGCCCGCACAAGCGGUGGAGUAUGUGGUUUAAUUCGAAGCAACGCGAAGAACCUUACCAAGGCUUGACAUCCUUCUGACAGGUAUAGAGAUAUACUUUUUCUUCGGAACAGAAGUGACAGGUGGUGCAUGGUUGUCGUCAGCUCGUGUCGUGAGAUGCUGGGUUAAGUCCCGCAACGAGCGCAACCCUUAUCUUCAGUAGCCAGCAGAGAAGAUGGGCACUCUGGAGAGACUGCCGUGGAUAACACGGAGGAAGGUGGGGAUGACGUCAAAUCAUCAUGCCCCUUAUGUCUUGGGCAACACACGUGCUACAAUGGCUAGAAACAAAGUGAAGCGAGACGGUGACGUUAAGCAAAGCACAAAAACCUAGUCCCAGUUCGGAUUGUAGUCUGCAACCCGACUACAUGAAGCUGGAAUCGCUAGUAAUCGCAAAUCAGAAUGUUGCGGUGAAUACGUUCCCGGGCCUUGUACACACCGCCCGUCACACCAUGGAGUUGGAAGCGCCCGAAGUCGAUGACCCAACCGCAAGGAGGGAGUCGCCGAAGGUGAAGCCAGUGACUGGGGUGAAGUCGUAACAAGGUAAC